rnacentral:rRNA from 1 species
UACAGGGGGUGCAAACGUUGCUCGGAAUUAUUGGGCGUAAAGCGCACGUAGGCGGUUCGUUAUGUCAGAUGUGAAAGCCCUUGGCUCAACUGAGGAAGUGCAUCUGAAACUGGCGAGCUAGAGUAUGUAAGAGGGUCGCGGAAUUCCCGGUGUAGAGGUGAAAUUCGUAGAUAUUCGGAAGAACACCAGUGGCGAAGGCGACUCUCUGGUCUGUAACUGACGCUGAGGCGCGAAAGCGUGGGGAGCAACAGG